GAUGAACGCUAGCGGGAGGCUUAAUACAUGCAAGUCGAGCGGCAAGUUUUGAUAGCAAUAUUGGAACCUAGAGCGGCGCACGGGUGAGUAACGCGUACAUGACCUGCCCUAUACUGGGGGAUAGUCUUGGGAAACUGAGAAUAAUCCCGCAUGUGAUUAGAAUGCUGCAUGGCAAAUUAAUUAAAGCUGAGGCGGUAUAGGAUGGGUGUGCGUCUGAUUAGCUAGUUGGUAGUGUAACGGACUACCAAGGCGAUGAUCAGUAGGGGCGUGAGAGCGUGACCCCCCACACGGGUACUGAGACACGGACCCGACUCCUACGGGAGGCAGCAGUAAGGGAAUAUUGCUCAAUGGCCGAAAGGCUGAAGCAGCAACGCCGCGUGGAGGACG
rnacentral:rRNA from 1 species